CCCCGGCGCCCCAAGUGGCAAUCACGUUUAUUGGGCCUAAAGCAUUCGUAGCCGGAUAUUUAAGUCUUCUGUGAAAUCAAUUAGCUUAACUAGUUGGCGUGCAGAAGAUACUGAGUGUCUUGGAACCGGGAGGAGUCAGAGGUACUCUGAGGGGAGCGGUAAAAUGUGAUAAUCCUCGGAAGACCACCAGUGGCGAAGGCGUCUGACUAGAACGGAUUCGACGGUGAGGAAUGAAGGCUAGGGGAGCAAAAGG
rnacentral:rRNA from 1 species